GAUAGGUUGGGCUGCAUCAAGUGACUUUAGCUUUAAUUUCGAUAAUUUUUAUUUUUGAAAAAACCUAUUUUCAAAUUUUAUUUACCAUAUUUAUUUGAAUUUUUUUUAGAAAAAUAGUUUUCCUUAAAAACACUAUGCCCUCCUAAAUAUGUAUGAUAUUUUCAUAAAUUUGCGUUUAGGAAGACAUUUCUUAAUGUGUAUGAUAUAUUCAUAAAAUUUAUGAAGAUUUUGAUAAAUCUGU
rnacentral:lncRNA from 1 species